rnacentral:rRNA from 1 species
CCCUAGUAACGGCGAGUGAAGAGGGAUCAGCCCAAAUUUGUAAUCUGGCUCYUUCAGAGUCUGAGUUGUAAUUUUGAGAACUGUUUUCUGCUCUGGACCAUGUACAAGUCUGUUGAAAUGCAGCAUCAUUGAGGGUGAGAAUCCUGUUCAUGAUAUGGACUACCAGGGCUUUAUGAUACAGUCUCUAAGAGUCGAGUUGUUUGGGAAUGCAGCUCAAAGUGGGUGGUAAAUUCCAUCUAAGGCUAAAUAUUGGUGAGAGACCGAUAGCAAACAAGUACCGUGAGGGAAAGAUGAAAAGAACUUUGGAAAGAGAGUUAACAGUACGUGAAAUUGUUAAAAGGGAAACAGUUGAAGUUAGACUUGUUGUUGUUGGUUCAGCUCUUUAAGGGUGUUUUCUGAUGAUUAACAAACCAACAUCAAUCUCUGGGUGUUGGAUAAGGGUCAUUGAAAUGUAGCAGUUUUGGCUGUGUUAUAGUCUUUGACUUGGAUACAGUGCCUGGGAUUGAGGAUUGCAGUAAGCCCCUAUUUGGGGUGGGACAAUUUAUUGUUCUUCUUACUGAGGAUGUUGGUGCAAUAGCUUUAAUUGACCCGUCUUGAAACACGGACCAAGGAGUCUAACAUGCUUGCGAGUAWUUUGGGUGUUGAAACCCUGAUGCGUAAUGAAAGUAAAUGUAAAUGGGAUCUGUAACAAGUGCACCAUUGACCAGUCCUGAUUA